GACAGAGGGUGCGAACGUUGUUCGGAAUUACUGGGCGUAAAGCGCAUGUAGGCGGCAGCGCAAGUCGGGCGUGAAAUCCCACGGCUCAACCGUGGAAGUGCACUCGAAACUGCGCAGCUAGAGUCCUGGAGAGGAAGGUGGAAUGCUUGGUGUAGAGGUGAAAUUCGUAGAUAUCAAGCGGAACACCGGUGGCGAAGGCGGCCUUCUGGACAGUAACUGACGCUGAGAUGCGAAAGCGUGGGGAGCAAACAGG
rnacentral:rRNA from 1 species